rnacentral:rRNA from 1 species
AAAACAUAGCCCUAGAUAUAAUCUAAGGUGUAACCUGCCCAGUGAUUUUUAAUUAAUAAGAUAAAAUCUUUAAAAUAAAAUUAAAAGGACGCGGUAACCUUGACCGUGGUAAUGUAGCAUAAUCACUCGCCAUUUAAUUGAUGGAUAGUAUGAAUGGUUGAACGAAUAUUCCACUGUCUUAGAAAGAAAAGAUUGAAAUUGAAAUAAUAGUUAAGAUGCUAUUUUAAACUGUAAGACGAAAAGACCCUAUAGAGCUUAACUAUAAUCUCUAUUAUCACCAAAAAAAUUAAUUUUAUAAUUAUAGAGAUUGGUAGUUUAGUUGGGGCGACUGUCUUCUAAAAUUAACGAAGAUAAGCAAUGUUAAUAUUUAACUUAUUGUAUAAUAUAAUUAUUUAACAAUUAUAAAAAUAGGCUAUAAUGACCCGUUAAAUUAAUAUAAAAUAUUUAACGAUCAAUUAAUAAAAGCUACCUUAGGGAUAACAGGAUAAUUUUAUUUUAGAGUUCCUAUCGAAAAUAAAGUUUGUCACCUCUAUGUUGAAUUAAGAUGUCCUGAUAAUGCAGCAGUU